CCUACGGGAGGCAGCAGCAAGGAAUCUUCCGCAAUGGGCGAAAGCCUGACGGAGCAACGCCGCGUGUGGGAUGACGCCUUUCGGGGUGUAAACCACUUUUCUCGGGGAAGAAGCACUGACGGUACCUGAGGAAUAAGGACCGGCUAACUACGUGC
rnacentral:rRNA from 1 species